rnacentral:lncRNA from 1 species
AGGGCACUUAGGCAAGUCGUGUUUGAGUUGGGGCAGCGGGUGAUGGUGGCCGUGUGCGUCCCAGUUUGGAGCCCCAAAGCGUCUGGGUCUUGCCUGCGAAGGGUGCGGAGAGUGAGGGAAGGGCUGCCGGGGAUGUGGGGCUCGGAGGUGCCGUGUUUGGAUGCUCUGAGAGGACUGCCAGGGCUACUAUCUCCCCCAGCCCUCGUAGGUACUGUCAGCUUGAGGAUAGGGGAGCCUGGGUGGGUGUUGGGUGUGUACAACGUUCACGGAACAGCACACUGGGCGCCUGUGGAGGGCCGGGAUCCUUGGGCGGAGCCACAGUGGGCAGAAGCCGGUGGGACCUGCUCCGGAACCCCGAGGCCGCUGGGCACAAGAAAGCAGCUCCAGGCCCCGACCCAGGCGCUCUCGAAAGCUGCCUUCCCCAGUCGACCCCCCGCGCGCUCUGAAAUCCUUCACGCAGAUAACUUAAUUUCUCUGGUCUGCCAUGGUUCUCUCCCUCGCCUUCUCGUCUCGGCUCCUUAGCUGGUCACCUGCGCUAAGAUCCCAACUUGUCGCCGCAGAUAAAACUGCGGAGGCCAGCAGGAGAUGGGGUCUCCUUGGUGGCAUUCCGAGCAGAGGCUCUGCCCUUGAGAAAUAAACCGGGUGCCUCUCCCGGGUGGGUGGGCUCAUGAAGCUGCGACCGGAGGCAAACGAAGGACCGUGGAGUUUGGGACGAAUCCCCGAAGCCUUCCGGAUGUUCAUCCUGGCGUGAGAGCUGUUGAAACCUCGCGCCGAAGCGCACAGGAACUAAAAGUUGGGUUCCUCAGAGUGAACUAGCCGGAGAAGUCUGCGGGGCCCAGAGAAGCGACGCCCCGUGCGUUUUGGAGAACUCCGGGUGCCCUGCCGUUCUCCUGGGUUUUCAGGGAAAGGGAAAAGCCAGUGUGGUCUCUUGCGCGGAGACAGGCGGCGGUCCUGGAGAGGGCUCCUCCCAGCCACCUGGGUUCAGAACUGCCUGGCCAGCUCUCAAAGUCUCUCUGCUGAGGAGAUGCUACACUGUUGUUUAAACACCAAAACCAAGCUCAACGGCCCCGCCUCUUCCCAGGAAGAAAGUCUCCUUUCUUUCUUUUUUCCUUUUUUUUUCCUUACAUUGUCAGUUGCUAUAAUUUAUUUGUUUUACAGUUUCAGCCGCUAAAGAAGCAGUUUAGAUCAAGCCGAUUCCCGUGAAAGGCUUUUCUUGUGGUCUCUUGGCAGGAUUUCUCUUCGGAAGAAAAACUGCUGACAGAAUACACACGUUGCCAGACAAUCCUGAUUACAUUUUAAUUAGCUGGGGUGAAAUAAGCUGCAAAUUACUCAGUUAGGACUUAAUAACUGCUGUUUUUGCCAUCAAUGGCAAAGCCAUUCCUGGAGGUUUAACCCUACCCUGGUGAUGCCUGUCCGAUCUACCUAAAUUGCGGGGAUUGAGCUUUUUUAAGAUUUGAAAAGAAAGAAGCACACACUCCUUACAAAGCCUGACGCUUCCCUGUCCCUCCUUAUUUUUGCUUUUUACAUAACCAGGAGGGUGCAGAGGAAUCUGGCUGCAGCCAACUGAUGACUCUGCACGUGGUAUUUAUUAAGGGGCUGGAGGAAGCUUUGGAAAAGCCCCUUCUAUCAGGGUCACCCCACCCCACCCCUACCCCCUUGUGCAAAUAAACCCGAGCAGAAAGCUGUUUCUGGAGUCUGUGUUGGUUCGCAGCUAGUCCUGCCCAGUAUCAGGUCUCUUUUUUAGGCUGGAAGAAAGUUUGUUGCCAGCCUGGAGGCCAGCCGAGUAUGUGGACUUGCCGGUGUGCAAGCUGCCUGGGCUUGGCUUGGAAGAUCCCAACCUGUGUGCUCAUGGUGUAGACAGAUUUGGAGCUGCCGGGGCAGCAGGCCUGAAGAGGAGGCUGGGAUCUAAGCCUUCAAUUCUGCACUUUCCCAGAUACCUCCCUGCCCCCAUGCCCUGCUCCCCCCAUCAGGUGCAGCAUGAGGGUAAAGGCCGAUGGUGCACACCUGGUGCCUGCGGGUCUGUGGGCUGGGUCCAUGGCACCUGUCAAUCCCGUAGCUCUCAGCCUUGCCUGAACGCAAAGGGACUCCAUAGUGAUGCCUGGAAGUGGGAGUGGCAAUGAAGGAUACCAGAAUUACCUGGGCACUGUCCCUGACCUGAAGGAGCUUAGAAUUUCAUACUGAAAGGGAGAAGGAUUCUGAGCUGCAUCAUUUCACUACUGAGUGCUGCCCUCAUUCAGAAAAAGCAGUGCCAGCUAGCAUCUCCCAGGGUAUCAGUGUGCAGCUCUCGGAUGCUGCAUGCACGGCAUUUGGCAUGUGGCCAUUUCAGGUUCCCAAGUGUCACGCACACUUGUGACUCCAGUCCCGCCGGCAGAGGUGGUUGGGAAGGACUCCCUUACAUUAGCGAGUUCAGCUGAGCUCCGAGCUCUGGGUAAGGAGCUUGGAAGUGGACUUGGGAGCCAGGCAGAUCGGCUCUGUGUCAGGUUCUCCCACUUGGCAGGUGGGUAGCUUGGAAAGAUCGCUUCCAGUCUCUCAUGCGUUGAUGGGACACCUGCCCAGCAAGGUGAAGAUUCUAAAACAUGGUGGGGUAAGGAAAGUGAUGGUCAUAACGGGGCAGACAUUCACUGGAAGAUGACUAAGUACCACUGUUCUAGGUCUCUGACAAGUCUGUCUCAUUUCAUCCCCACAACCAUCAUACAGAGAGGGUGCUAUGGCUACCCUCUGCUAAUUGAUAAGGACACAAGAUGCUGAGAAGCUCAUAGACGUGGGGCUGGGCUCCCAGCAAAGACAGCUACCAGUUUUGGAGUUUAUUGUUAUAUUUAGGAUUUUAUUAGUUAGUGGGUUAAUUUAGUUCAAGACCUGAUUUUCAGGACCCAGUGCAAAAUGAAAACGUGUAGCCCAUUAUUUGAAGAACAAGAAGGGUUGUCGAGGACACUGAAACGUAAAACUUGUUCCUUGUUCUGUGACGCUUCUCUCUCGACUCGUUGUGGUGUUUGAUGUAUGCUCUUCAGGACUGUAGAGAAUAUUCUGAACCGGAAGUCAUUACCACGGAUUUCACUGUUACCUUGCUGGCUUAUAGAACCAGUGUCACACGUGAACAUCAGAGCAUUUUGUGCAUGUGUGGAAUCCCCAGCAGCACCCAGUUUGGACUUCCUGGCUCGUCCUUGGGGGCCCUAAUGGGGCCAGACUCAGGAAGGUGGGAAGGAGGAAGAGAGGACCCCCCCAAAGUGCCCAGUGUGGGGUGUGCCCAUUGGGUGCCCCACAAGGGGAUCUUACAAGAUGUGUGUAGACCAUCCUGGGUACCAAGGGCCUGGCGAGCACACACACAUGCUCAGCACGAAACUCAGCUGGUGCCCUGUUCAGCCAGCUGCUGGACCCACGCAUUGCGCUUGAGCUGGAUCCCCAGGAACCUGAGCCGGGAGUCUCCCCCUCUUACUGCUCAGCCCGUAGCAAUAGGCAAUCCCCCAAGUGUACUUCAGUCUCUUGGCUGCAUGCAGUUAGGUACCUGCCUUAGGGAUGGGCGAUAGGCUUGUUCCCAUGGAGUCUUGGACUCUAGCUGGCCACCCACCCAGCAGAGCAUGAUGCUCCCAGCAUGGGCCAGAGACAGCCAGCACUAAAUUCAGGGAUGCCUCAAGGCAUGCGUGCCCCACCGAGACCCUUCUUGUACUCACUCCCAGGCCCCUGUAGGGGGCAGAGUGUGACAACAAUGUGGGAGUGAGGAGGGAGUGGUAGGGAGGACUAGGGGGCCAGGGAGUGGUCAGCAGCGGAGAACCUUCCCUGGGGAGGGAAGGGGGGUGUGGGAGGCAGCGUGAUGCAAGGCACCACGCCUCCAGAACAUGCUCCAGUGCCCUAUUAGACUUCACAAAACGCAGAUGCAGAAGCCACUAAAAGUUUCCGUAUGGCAAUGUCGGUGCCUUAACCCCCAGGCCUUUGGCAGCGGUCCUGUGCCUGAAGCUCUGGUUUGGGUUCUGUAUGUCAGGGUUGCCAAACCCUUAGGAGGGCUUAGGCCCAUUUGUCGUGGCAGGUCUUCACCGCUGUCCUUUGUGUUCAAGGGGUACAGUGAUGAGCUGUGCUCGGGGGGGAGUCAGCUGCUGUGCCCUUAGGGCUCAGCCUCACUGGAAGACAAAUGAAGAGGCCGGAGAGGGGCAGUGUGCCUCCAGUAAGCUCUGCCUCUUUGUAGGCGAGUCUCCUUUAACUCGAGAGUGACCUCCUCUCCUGUCCUGGUUCUGGAGAACCACUCCAUUCAUGGUGGGGACCCCGCCCCCACCCUGGGGUCUGCUCAUCAUGGCAGCAGUGAUGGAGCUGAGUCUCAGAGCCAGAAAGAUAGAGACAUUCCACCAAAUACUGGCAGAUCUGCCGUGUGCUCUUCCUCGGCCUGAGUUUUCUCAAAGGAGGCUCUGUAGAUCAGGGCCGGAGGGAAAAUAGGAGCCCGAGGGUAAUAAAAUAGCAAAAGCGCGUCUAUUUCUCUGCCAGAUUUCAGGAUGCUCACUGGGAAAGCGGGUGGAAUCUUGGAAGAUGAGUAGCAGGUUGCUGGCAGCCUCUGCCCUGGGGCUCUAGAAUUUUAUUAGUGUGAAGAGAUUCUUGCUUAAUGGGACAUUAUUCACUCUCUAAACGACCACUGAUAGGCUCGUUUAGGUAGCUGAUUAGAGAUCAGAGGCUUUUUCUAGCAGUAAUUGGAAGCUGUUUGUUUUGGCAAAAGAGAGAACUAAGCUGGUGAUUAGCUCAUUCUGCUUGGAGGACCAGCCUCUCCUCUCAGAAAAAGCAAACAAACAAUUAGUGCAUCAAAAACUUUUAGCCAGCCACAGUUGAGCCCCAGGCUCACAGAUGUUUGGAGGAGCAAUUUUGUGGUAAAUGUACGAAGCCCUGGUGAGUCGGUUCGGCCUGCAGGGAGAUUUAAGUUGUAUGGCAGAGUGGGCAGGUGUGUCGAAAGUCAGUGGGAAGAAAGGCCAUCUUCAAGUUUGACCUUUAUAGUUCCCAGGGGGUCAUGGCAUCUCUGGCUGUGUUUCAAAGUAUUUCUGAAUUUGACCCAAAUGAAACAGGAGGCUCUUCACGGCAAAUCUUCUUUAAUAUAAUGUGUCUCCUUGUACAUGAUUUAGAAAUUCUGUAUUAUUGUGAGUAUUAGAACAUUUUAAAACCACAUUAGAAAAUACUGACUUGUUCAUUUCUUGGGGCACUGUAUCAUUAUAGGAGAAAUGUAUGUAUUUUUAUAUAUUGCGUAUAGUAUA